rnacentral:lncRNA from 1 species
UAAAGGAGUACUUAAGAAUUUUUCAAGCGAAGUUUGCAUUGCCUCACUCAUGUCGGCGUCGGUGUUGGUGUUGGCGUACGAAAAAACCCGAGCCACGCGAAAAUA